GCAGUGGGACUGCGUUGGUUCAUCGGAGCGAGCAUUGAUGGCGUCAGUGCUGUCUCUGUGGGUGGGGUCGCCGGCCUUCUCAAAAAGGACAGCUCAUUCAUGGCGUUCGAUCUCUCUCUCUCUCCCCUCCUUCUCAUCCAUCACUUCUCUCUUCGUGGCAGAUAACUCAUAACCAAUUUUCUUUCUACUCUCCUCCUCUCUCUCUCUCUGAUCAUUCCACCUCUCCCUCUCUCUGAUCAUUCCACCUCUCUCUCUUACCGUGAAUACUGAACUGCAAACAUGAGAGGGCGGGCGUCAUUCAGUCUUUAUCUUCUAAAUAUUUCUCUCUUGUCUUUCUGCCUUUGUGAAUAUAACUGCAGCCCUUUGGGGUAUCAACAAGGUUCUGCACUAUUGGAGAAAAAGGGAAAUGCUAUGUUGCCAGCUACCUCCCCAAUUGGGGCUCCUCAGCCCUUUCUUCCUCUUCUGGCACCUUCACCACCGACACCCUUCACAAACAGCAGUGUGCCAAGAUUGUCAGGACUCUGCACCUUAAAUUUUUCUGCAUCUGAAAGUAUGAUGAGUAAAACUGCAACUGAUUGCUGGGCUGUUUUUGCUCCAUUUCUAGCAAAUGUAAUAUGUUGCCCACAGUUGGAAGCCACUCUUGCGAUUCUUAUGGGGCAAUCCAGCAAAGAUACUGGGGCUCUUGCUUUGGAUGCGACCCAUGCAAAACACUGCCUCUCUGAUGUUGAGCAGAUCUUAGCAGGUCAAGGUGCAAGUGCAGAUCUUCAAAAAAUAUGCUCAAUUUAUCCAUUAAAUCUAACUGAAGCCUCUUGCCCUCUCAAAAAUGUUAUUGAGUUUGAAAGCACUGUGGAUACAUCUAAACUUUUGGCUGCUUGUGAAACGAUUGAUCCUGUUAAGGAAUGUUGUAGCCAAAUUUGUCAGAAUGCAAUAUCGGAAGCUGCACAAAUGAUUGCCUUGAAAGAUUAUGGUCUUUCAAGCACAGAUGGGAACAACCUCUUGCUCGGGCAGUCAUCUAGGAUUGAUGAUUGUAAAGGCAUUGUUCUUCGAUGGCUAGCUAGUAGGCUUGGUCCUUCUUCUGCAAAUAAAGUUCUUAGAGGACUUUCUAAUUGCAAUGUCAAUAAAGUCUGUCCACUAGUUUUUCCUGGCAUAGAAAAUGUUGCAAAGGAGUGUGGGAAUGGGAUAAGUAACCAGUCAGCUUGCUGCAGUGCCAUGGAAAAUUAUGUAUCUCACUUGCAAAAGCAGAGAUUCAUAACCAACUUGCAAGCUCUUAACUGUGCCGCAAUGCUUGGCAUUAAGUUGCAGAAAGCCAACAUUACCAAAAACGUUUAUAGCCUAUGUCAUAUCACACUCAAGGAUUUUUCUCUCCAGGUUGGGUCACAAGAGUCUGGAUGCCUUUUGCCAAGCUUGCCUUCAGAUGCAACAUUUGACAAGUCUUCAGGAAUCAGCUUCCUCUGUGAUUUGAAUGACAACAUUGCAGCUCCUUGGCCCUCUACAUCUCAAAUACCAUCUUCUUCCUGCAAUAAGACAAUCAAACUUCCAGCACUUCCAGCUGCAACAUCUGCACAAGCAAGUCCUUCCAGAGAGGAUUUGUUGGUUCCACUUCUCAUUGCUUUCUUGAUGGCUUUCAUGACAUUCCUGUAGUUCUAUGAUAAGGGGCCAUUCAUGUUUCUCAUUACAAUUGACAAUGGCAUGUUCUUCAUCCUCGAGGCAAAUAUUUGAUCUUACAUAUUCUGAAGUGGAAAGAGGAAUUUUUUGAAGCACCCUGCGGCAUAUCCAACAUGUAUUUAUUCUGAGGUCUAGUUACCACUUUAAAAGAAUCACUUUUUGAGGUCCAUGAAGAUUUCUUGGCUAAUCAUGGUAUCAUAUAGCAGACCUCUUGCGUGGAAACCCCACAACAAAAUGGGGUAGUGGAAAGGAAGCAUAGGCAUCUCCUGGAGAUAGCUAGGGCCUUAAGAUUUCAGUCCAUUCUACCAAUAAAAUUCUGGGGGGGGGGAGUGCAUUUUAAAAGCGACGUAUAUCAUCAACCACCUCCCUACCCCUCUUCUUUCUGGAAAAACUCCAUUUGAAAUAUUAUAUGGUCACACUCCUUAUACCCAUUUUCGUACUUUUGGUUGCUUUGCCUAUGCUGCCACAAUCCAACAUGGCCAUGAUAUGUUUGCAUCUCGAUCCCAGCAUUGUAUUUCUUGGUCUAUCCACAUGGACAAAAGAGAUAUCGACUCCUUGACAUGGAAACAAAUCAACUAUUUAUUUCAUAUGAUGUCAAAUUCUUUGAAAACCUUGUUCCCUUAUUCUAAUGAAAAAUAUUUGGAUCCUACUACACACAUUCCAAUCAUCCCAACACCAGAAGCUGAUGAUGAUAAUAUGCUUCAACAUGAUUCUAUUAUUGCAGACUCCAUCCAUACAGUUGAGCCUUACAAUAUUGAAGUGACUACCACCACCCCAUGCUUACAAGAAAUUGAGCCCACACCUGAUCACAACUCGCCAGAGCCCACACAUGUUGCAGUAGGCCCCUCUCGGCCAAUGUGUGAUAAACGCAUCCCAACCCAUCUUUCUGAUUAUAUCUAUCCCAUCAUUAGACCCAAUAUUGGCCCAUGGACUUCAUCCACUAGCCAUCCCAUAUCUAAUUUUCUACUCUCUUGCUUAGCUUCCCAAACUAUUCAACCACCUAAGCCCACCACAUAUUCUCAGACAGAGUUGCCACCUAACAAUAUUCCCAUCUUCCCAAUAUUGUCAACACUUUAAAAUACUUAUACAUUGACUUUGACAGAUUGCCACCUAACAAAAAGCCCAUCGGAUGCAAAUGGAUUUACAAGAUCAAGUAUAAGCAUGAUGGUACAAUUGAGCAUUACAGAGCACGCAUUGUUUCAAGAGGCCAUACAUAAAGAGAGGACAUUGAUUAUGCUAAGACCUUUGCCCCAGUUGCCAAAUUUGUAUCAAUACAUUGCUUAUUAGCACUUGUUGUAGCCAAAGGUUUGGAACUUCAUCAAAUGAAUGUAAACAAUGCUUUUCUUCA